CUACGGGCCGCUGCAGUUAGGAAUAUUCUGCAAUGCGCGCAAGCGUGACAGAUUGAACCAGAGUGUUUUUCAAAUGAAAGACUUUUGUGAAAUGUAAAAAGUUUUACGAAUAAGGACUGGGUAAGACGAGUGCCAGCCGCCGCGGUAAUACUCGCGGUCCAAGUCGCAGCCAUUUUUAUUGGGUCUAAAACAUCCGUAGCUUGCUUGAUAAGUUUCUUGUGAAAUUUUAUAUCUCAAAUAUGAAGCGUGCAAGAAGUACUGUCAAGCUAGAGACUGGAAGACGUAAGAAGUAUGUUUGGAGUAGCGGUAAAAUGUGUUAAUCCCAGACAGACUAACAACAGCGAAGGCAUCUUACGAGGACAGUUCUGACAGUAAGGGAUGAAAGCUAGGGGCGCAAAACGGAUUAGAUACCCUCGUAGUC
rnacentral:rRNA from 1 species